rnacentral:rRNA from 1 species
AAGUCGUAACAAGGUUUCCGUAGGUGAACCUGCGGAAGGAUCAUUGUCGAAGCCUAUAAAGCAAAAUGACUCGUGAACGUGUAACAAAAGCUGAGUGUUGUCAUAGGGAUCGGGCUUUUGUUUGUGACCUAUGGCACCCUGUCGAUUUGCCACUAUGGUUGUCUCUUUGGAGAUUCCUUGAUGUCAAAUGGACGCAACAACAAACCCCGGCACGGCAUGUGCCAAGGAAGACUAAACUUUAAGAACGCCUUAUGCCAUGUUGCCCCGUUUGUGGUGUGUGCAUGGGAUGUGGCUUCUUUAUAACCACAAACGACUCUCGGCAACGGAUAUCUUGGCUCACGCAUCGAUGAAGAACGUAGCAAAAUGCGAUACUUGGUGUGAAUUGCAGAAUCCCGUGAACCAUCGAGUUUUUGAACGCAAGUUGCGCCCGAAGCCAUUCGGCCGAGGGCACAUCUGCCUGGGCGUCACGCAUCGCAUCGCUCCUCACCAUGCCUCUUCAAGAGGGGUGUGUGUGAUAGGGGCGGAGACUGGUCUCCCGUGCCUAUGGUGUGGUUGGCCAAAAUAUGAGUUUCCUUUUGGUGGGCACACGGCAAGUGGUGGUUGACAAAACCUUCGUCUCGUGUUGUGUGUCCUGAAAUAAAUGGGAAGACUUCGUAAAGUACCCUAACGUGUCGUCUUGUGUCGAUACUUCGACCGCGACCCCAGGUCA